rnacentral:rRNA from 1 species
CGUAGGGCGCAAGCGUUGUCCGGAAUUAUUGGGCGUAAAGAGCUCGUAGGUGGCUUGUUGCGUCUGCCGUGAAAGCCCGUGGCUUAACUACGGGUCUGCGGUGGAUACGGGCAGGCUAGAGGCUGGUAGGGGCAAGCGGAAUUCCUGGUGUAGCGGUGAAAUGCGCAGAUAUCAGGAGGAACACCGGUGGCGAAGGCGGCUUGCUGGGCCGGUUCUGACGCUGAGGAGCGAAAGCGUGGGGAGCGAACAGGAUUAGAUACCCUGGUAGUCCACGCUGUAAACGUUGGGCGCUAGGUGUGGGGGUCUUCCACGAUCUCUGUGCCGUAGCUAACGCAUUAAGCGCCCCGCCUGGGGAGUACGGCCGCAAGGCUA